rnacentral:rRNA from 1 species
CAGUCGCCGCGGUAAUACGAAGGGGGCUAGCGUUGCUCGGAAUGACUGGGCGUAAAGGGCGCGUAGGCGGUCACGAUAGACAGAUGUGAAAUUCCUGGGCUUAACCUGGGGACUGCAUUUGAUACUGUGUGGCUUGAGUGUGGAAGAGGGUCGUGGUAUUCCCAGUGUAGAGGUGAAAUUCGUAGAUAUUGGGAAGAACACCGGUGGCGAAGGCGGCGACCUGGUCCAUAACUGACGCUGAGGCGCGAAAGCGUGGGGAGCAAACAGGAUUAGAUACCCCAGUAGUCCCUGUCUCUUAUAC